AAUCCCCACCACCACCACCACCACCGCACUACCCACCACCACAUCAACCCUUACAAAUACAAAUCCCCACCGCCACCACCGCCACCUCAUCAUUACUUAUACACUUCACCUCCUCCUCCCCACCACUACUAAUGAAUGGCUUUGAUAGGUUUGAGGUAAGCUAAAGCUUUAACUUAAAAGGCUCUAUUUUGACCCCAAAAAAAUGGUUGAAGAAAAAAUUCAACAGAGUGAUGUGGUGAUAUUACGUUUGUAAACAAAGCAAUCUUAAAGUUGUUGUUUUUUUCUGCAGGAAAUAGAGAGAUUAAAAUAAAGAACAUUGGUGUUGCAGAGCUUUUAAGAAAGAGCAUGAAAGCAACCACAAGAGGAAGAAGAAGAAGAAUGAGCCAAGAAGAAAAGAAAGGAAGUGUUCAGUAGUAUGAUGUAUUUUGAUAUAUUGUUUGUGUACUGAAUUGGUCGUGCAAGUCUUUGUGUUAGACCGAUUCGCUUGUGUUUUGACCUCUUGACAAGUGCAAAGGUCAUUUGUGUAAUUCAAUAAAUGAAUUUCUCAAAUUUUCUACUGUGACAGGCUUAAUA
rnacentral:lncRNA from 1 species